GGGGAAUAUUGGACAAUGGGCGCAAGCCUGAUCCAGCAAUGCCGCGUGUGUGAAGAAGGCCUUCGGGUUGUAAAGCACUUUUAUCAGGAGCGAAACGCUGUCGGCUAAUACCCGGCGGAACUGACGGUACCUGAGGAAUAAGCACCGGCUAACUUCGUGCCAGCAGCCGCGGUAAUACGAAGGGUGCAAGCGUUAAUCGGAAUUACUGGGCGUAAAGCGUGCGUAGGCGGUGACUUAAGUCUGCUGUGAAAUCCCCGGGCUCAACCUGGGAAUGGCAGUGGAUACUGGGUCGCUAGAGUGUGAUAGAGGAUGGUGGAAUUCCCGGUGUAGCGGUGAAAUGCGUAGAGAUCGGGAGGAACAUCAGUGGCGAAGGCGGCCAUCUGGAUCAACACUGACGCUGAGGCACGAAAGCGUGGGGAGCAAACA
rnacentral:rRNA from 1 species